rnacentral:rRNA from 1 species
GACGAACGCUGGCGGCGUGCUUAACACAUGCAAGUCGAACGGAAAGGCCCUGCUUUUGUGGGGUGCUCGAGUGGCGAACGGGUGAGUAACACGUGAGUAACCUGCCCUUGACUUUGGGAUAACUUCAGGAAACUGGGGCUAAUACCGGAUAGGAGCUCCUGCUGCAUGGUGGGGGUUGGAAAGUUUCGGCGGUUGGGGAUGGACUCGCGGCUUAUCAGCUUGUUGGUGGGGUAGCGGCUUACCAAGGCUUUGACGGGUAGCCGGCCUGAGAGGGUGACCGGCGACAUUGGGACUGAGAUACGGCCCAGACUCCUACGGGAGGCAGCAGUGGGGAAUAUUGCACAAUGGGCGGAAGCCUGAUGCAGCAACGCCGCGUGCGGGAUGACGGCCUUCGGGUUGUAAACCGCUUUAGCCUGUGACGAAGCGUGAGUGACGGUAAUGGGUAAAGAAGCACCGGCUAACUACGUG